UACGUAGGGUCCAAGCGUUAUCCGGAGUUACUGGGCGUAAAGCGUGCGCAGGCGGCGUGUUAAGUGAGGUGUGAAAUCUGGCGGCUCAACCGUGUAGAUUGCAUCUCAUACUGGCAUGCUAGAGUGAGGCAGAGGCAAGUGGAAUUGGCAGUGUAGCAGUGAAAUGCGUAGAUAUUGCCAGGAACACCAAUGGCGAAGGCAGCUUGCUGGGCCUCCACUGACGCUCAGGCACGAAAGCGUGGGGAGCGAACAGG
rnacentral:rRNA from 1 species